rnacentral:pre_miRNA from 10 species
UCAGUUGCUCAGUAGGCAGUGUAGAUCCUGUUUAGCAAUCAGCAGCUACAUCUGGCUACUGGGUCUCUG